rnacentral:rRNA from 1 species
UACGGAGGGUGCAAGCGUUAUCCGGAUUCACUGGGCGUAAAGGGCGCGUAGGCGGUCCUGAUCGUCGGAUGUGAAAGGCCUGGGCUCAACCUGGGAACUGCAUCCGAUACGGCGGGACUGGAGUGUGGGAGAGGUUGGUGGAAUUCCCAGUGCAGAGGUGAAAUUCGUAGAUAUUGGGAAGAACACCGGUGGCGAAGGCGGCCAACUGGACCACAACUGACGCUGAGGCGCGAAAGCGUGGGGAGCAAACAGG